rnacentral:rRNA from 1 species
CGCGGCCUAUCAGCUUGUUGGUGGGGCAGUGGCCUACCAAGGCGACGACGGGUAGCCGGCCUGAGAGGGUGACCGGCCACACUGGGACUGAGACACGGCCCAGACUCCUACGGGAGGCAGCAGUGGGGAAUAUUGCACAAUGGGCGAAAGCCUGAUGCAGCGACGCCGCGUGAGGGAUGACGGCCUUCGGGUUGUAAACCUCUUUCAGCAGGGAAGAAGCGCAAGUGACGGUACCUGCAGAAGAAGCACCGGCUAACUACGUGCCAGCAGCCGCGGUAAUACGUAGGGUGCAAGCGUUGUCCGGAAUUAUUGGGCGUAAAGAGCUCGUAGGCGGCUUGUCGCGUCGGUUGUGAAAGCCCGGGGCUUAACCCUGGGUCUGCAGUCGAUACGGGCAGGCUAGAGUUCGGUAGGGGAGACUGGAAUUCCUGGUGUAGCGGUGAAAUGCGCAGAUAUCAGGAGGAACACCGGUGGCGAAGGCGGGUCUCUGGGCCGAUACUGACGCUGAGGAGCGAAAGCGUGGGGAGCGAACAGGAUUAGAUACCCUGGUAGUCCACGCUGUAAACGGUGGGAACUAGGUGUGGGCAGCAUUCCACGUUGUCUGUGCCGCAGCUAACGCAUUAAGUUCCCCGCCUGGGGAGUACGG